rnacentral:rRNA from 1 species
UACGUAGGGGGCAAGCGUUGUCCGGACUUACUGGGCGUAAAGCGCGUGCAGGCGGAUUGGUAUGUGCCGUGUGAAAGCCCCCAGCUUGCCUGGGAGAGGUCGCGGUAGACAGCCGAUCUGGAGGCUCGGAGAGGUUAGUGGAAUUCCCGGUGUAGUGGUGAAAUGCGUAGAUAUCAGGAGGAACACCGGUGGCGAAGGCGGGUCUCUGGGCCGAUACUGACACUGAGGAGCGAAAGCGUGGGGAGCGAACAGG